AUCAUUGAAACUUUUGGCAUAAACAAGUUUAUUUAUGGUACCUUGUAUGCAACACCUGUACAAAAUGACAUAUUGAAUUGAUCCACAUCCACACAUGGGUUCAACAUAGUUUGAGGUUGCUUUGAUAUUCUUUCUGGCUAAGAGAUUUUGGUGUUUCUAUUAUUGGCUCUAUGUUAAGCUAUGUAUCGUGCCUUUGUUUUCUUAUUGAUGUUAAUAUAAAUGAGAUUGUACUAUUUCGGACUAUAGUUCUGCUGGACUUUGGUUGGUAAAUAUCUUUACAUUAAGAGGAAAAGAGCUUUCUUCCGUAUUGUGGCUAUGGAUUAUUGUCAUGAGACUCUUGCUUUCUAGGGUUUAUUCUUGAAUACAGUCUGACUACAAAUGGGUGAUUAAUUUAUAGUUAUAAUAAAUGAAAGGGUAGUCUAAACUUUACUCCCUUCACUUUUUCUUCUGCUUUGUCAAAUGUUCCAUAUUAGUCCCUGUAUUUUUUUCAGACAUUGCCUCUUUGAGUUUUUAAAAUUGUUUCAGUGUGGUCUGUCAAUCCAGAUUUAUACUAACGUGAAUAAAAGUUGCUCACAUGCUUGCCAUGUUAACUCAUAUCCAUGUGGUACUAUUGUCCUGCUCAUUUGACAACGUUAAGGGUAGUGGAAGAAGAUAAAGAGCUUGACUUAGUGAUCCUGUUUCCUUUACAUGAUCUAUGAGGGAGUUGAGGUCACAUAAAGUUUCCAAAUUUUUAAACUAAAUGUUAUGCAGGACAAAGAAACAUAAUAAAAGUUAAUCUUGCUGUCAAUUUCCAGUUCAAUCUCACAUAUCCAGGUGGUACUAUUGCCCUGCUCAUUUGACGACGUUAAGGGUAGUGGAAGAAGAUAAAGAGCUUGACUUAAUGAUCUUAUUUCCUUUACAUGAUCUAUGAGGGAGUUGAGGUCACAUAAAGUUUCCAAAUUUUUAAACUAAAUGUUAUGCAGGGUAAAGAAACAUAAUAAAAGUUAAUCUUGCUGUCAAUUUCCAGUUCAAUCUCAGUUUCUCAGACGGAUAGUUCUAUUAUCUUGGUAACUGAAACAACAAAGGCUUUUUCUUAAUAAAGAUAUUUCCCUAAUUGAUUUUCUUUUACUUGAAUACGAAAUCAUAUCAGUUGUCUUUUACACAUUACAGAAAAGACUCACGAUUUUCUAAUGUAUGCUUUUCCACUUUUCCAAAGCCAAAUAAGCUUGUUUGCAGUUAGUUUUGUUUUUACAGAAAGAGGUGUAGUUUCCCUUGCUGCAUUUGUAAUGCUCUUACAUACCCUCUUACAUACUUUUGUUGCUCAUGUGAUGCAUUUCUAGUCCCUCCCAUCUAACUUUUUGUGAUCCAUUUCUUCAUCACUUUGCCUAAAUCUCUUGGAAUUUGGAAGUCCUUCACCCAACCCUAAUUCUUUUGGCAUUAGGAAUUGUUGUUAAUGCCAUAAGCAUUGUUGUUAAUGUCAAAUAUGUAAGUUAGGUCUUUUGAAAGGAUAAUAGGGUCUAAUAACGUGGUUUCUUUUUCCUCAGUGUUUAUUACCUUAAAUGGAAGACCUAAACUUUUGUUGUAAUAUUUAUAUUUGAAG
rnacentral:lncRNA from 1 species